CAAGUCGAACGAGAAAGUGGAGCAAUCCGUGAGUACAGUGGCGUACGGGUGAGUAACACGUGGGUAAUCUACCUUUUAGUGAGGAAUAACCGAGGGAAACUUCGGCUAAUACCNCAUAAGCCCGAGAGGGGAAAGUCGAAAGACGCUGAAAGAGGAGCCCGCGGCCGAUUAGCUAGUUGGUGAGGUAAGAGCCCACCAAGGCAGAGAUCGGUAGCCGGCCUGAGAGGGCACACGGCCACACUGGCACUGAAACACGGGCCAGACUCCUACGGGAGGCAGCAGUGGGGAAUCUUGCACAAUGGGGGAAACCCUGAUGCAGCGACGCCGCGUGAGCGAUGAAGCCCUUCGGGGUGUAAAGCUCUUUCGUCAGGGAAGAUAGUGACGGUACCUGGAGAAGCAGCUGCGGCUAACUACGUGCCAGCAGCCGCGGUAAUACGUAGGCAGCAAGCGUUGUUCGGAGUUACUGGGCGUAAAGGGUGUGUAGGCGGUUCUUUAAGUUUGCUGUGAAAUCUCCCGGCUUAACCGGGAGGGUGCGGUGAAUACUGAGGGACUAGAGUACGGGAGAGGAAAGUGGAAUUCCUGGUGUAGCGGUGAAAUGCGUAGAUAUCAGGAGGAACACCGGUGGUGUAGACGGCUUUCUGGACCGACACUGACGCUGAGACACGAAAGCGUGGGUAGCAAACAGGAUUAGAUACCCUGGUAGUCCACGCCCUAAAACGAUGCAUAUUUGGCGUGGGCAGUUCAUUCUGUCCGUGCCGGAGCUAACGCGUUUAAAUAUGCCGCCUGGGGAGUACAGUCGCAAGGCUGAAACUCAAAGGAAUUGACGGGGGCCCGCACAAACCGGUGGAGCAUGUGGUUC
rnacentral:rRNA from 1 species